AGCUGAUCCCACGCCACACACCUGACGUGGGGUUUUUCUUUCAAAAUGUGCGUUUUGAGGAACUUCUGAACACCUAUCCAGCCAUUUCAUGUUUUCAUCCCAUUCGAAUUCCCGCCUCCCAUUUAUUGCUCUCGGUGUCGGUAGCUCUUCCACCUUCAAAACCCGCCGUCGCCCCUCCCUCCUCUGCUCUGGGCGUCGCCGUCGCACAUCCACUGUCCAGCACCCCGCAUCGCCCAUUUGUGCCCAGCACCCGCCGUCGCCCCUCCUCUGCUCUGGGUCCCACGUCGUCGUCGCCCAUCCUCAGCCCAGCACCCCGCUUCGCCGUCAAUCAUCCUCUGCAAGACAAACAACUUUGCAAGAAUUCCAAAUAAUGAUGGAGAUCGAAAAUGGGAUUGGACAACACUCUGGACACCUGCAGAACUAAAGAUUUAUGGAAAUAGUUGCAGCCAAAUAGUGGCCAUGGGAGUUGGUUUUGUCUUUGUUGUUGUAUUUGUUUACACUCAAGUUAGAGAAGUACAAUACUUUGUUGUUGUUUUAGUUUGGAAACUGAGCUGUUGGAUUUCCUUUCCUUCAUGUAUGGGGCAUUGUGAGGAUUUUGAAGAAGAUUCUCCAAAAUUUUAAACUGAUCUGUUUUGAUAAGCACAGUUUGUCAAGCAAAGUAUAAACUAUAUGUAUAAACU